rnacentral:tRNA from 1 species
GGUAGAGUGGCCGAGUGGUUAUGGCGCUGGUUUUAGGUUUCAACCUCACCAGUGGGAAACCGCGCGAGUUCGAAUCUCGUCUCUAUCA